CACAUGCAAGUCGAGGGCAUCACGAUGAAGUAGCAAUACGGAUGGUGGCGACCGGCGCACGGUGAGUAACACGUAUGCAACCUGCCUUCAACAAGGGAUAACCCGUUGAAAGACGGACUAAUACCCUAUAACACAGGGGCCCGCAUGGGGAUAUUUGUUAAAGAUUUAUCGGUUGAAGAUGGGCAUGCGUUCCAUUAGCUGGUUGGUGGGGUAACGGCCCACCGAAGGCAACGAUGGACUAGGGGAACUGAGAGGUUUAUCCCCCACACUGGUACUGAGACACGGACCAGACUCCUACGGGAGGCAGCAGUGAGGAAUAUUGGUCAAUGGACGCAAGUCUGAACCAGCCACGUCGCCGUGAAGGAAGACGGCCCUACGGGUUGUUAAACUUCUUUUGGCAAGGGAAUAAAGUGCAGUACGCGUACUGUUUUGCAAGUACCUUGCGAAUAAGGAUCGGCUAACUCCGUGCCAGCCGCAGC
rnacentral:rRNA from 1 species